CUUCCGAGGGGAGAGCGGCGAACGGGUGAGUAACACGUGGGCAACCUGCCCCGGACACCGGGAUAACUCAGGGAAACCUGGGCUAAUACCGGAUACCUCGGCGUGAUCGCAUGGUCGUGCCGGGAAAGCUCCGACGGUCCGGGAUGGGCCCGCGGCCUAUCAGCUUGUUGGUGGGGUAACGGCCUACCAAGGCGGCGACGGGUAGCUGGUCUGAGAGGACGGCCAGCCACACUGGGACUGAGACACGGCCCAGACUCCUACGGGAGGCAGCAGUAGGGAAUCUUGCGCUAAUGCGCGAAAGCGUGACGCAGCGACGCCGCGUGCGGGAUGAAGGCCCUCGGGUCGUAAACCGCUUUCGGCAGGGACGAAGCGAAAGUGACGGUACCUGCAGAAGAAGUCCCGGCUAACUACGUGCCAGCAGCCGCGGUAACACGUAGGGGACGAGCGUUGUCCGGAUUCAUUGGGCGUAAAGCGCGCGUAGGCGGCUCGGAAAGUCGGUCGUGAAAUCCUGGGGCUCAACCCCGGAACUGCGUCCGAUACUCCCGAGCUGGAGGCAGGUAGGGGAGAUCGGAAUUCCUGGUGUAGCGGUGAAAUGCGCAGAUAUCAGGAGGAACACCGGUGGCGAAGGCGGAUCUCUGGGCCUUGCCUGACGCUGAGGCGCGAAAGCUAGGGGAGCGAACAGGAUUAGAUACCCUGGUAGUCCUAGCCGUAAACGUUGGGUGCUAGGUGUGGGCGGAUAUCGACCCCGUCCGUGCCGAAGCUAACGCAUUAAGCACCCCGCCUGGGGAGUACGGCCGCAAGGCUAAAACUCAAAGGAAUUGACGGGGGCCCGCACAAGCGGCGGAGCAUGCGGCUUAAUUCGAUGCGACGCGAAGAACCUUACCAAGGCUUGACAUACACUGGACCGUUCUGGAAACAGUUCUUCUCUUUGGAGCUGGUGUACAGGUGGUGCAUGGUUGUCGUCAGCUCGUGUCGUGAGAUGUUGGGUUAAGUCCCGCAACGAGCGCAACCCUCGUUCUAUGUUGCCAGCACGUGAUGGUGGGAACUCAUAGGAGACUGCCGGGGUCAACUCGGAGGAAGGUGGGGAUGACGUCAAAUCAUCAUGCCCUUUAUGUCUUGGGCUUCACGCAUGCUACAAUGGCUGGUACAGAGAGAGGCGAACCCGUGAGGGUGAGCGAAUCCCUUAAAGCCAGUCUCAGUUCGGAUCGUAGUCUGCAAUUCGACUACGUGAAGUCGGAGUCGCUAGUAAUCGCAGAUCAGCAACGCUGCGGUGAAUACGUUCCCGGGCCUUGUACACACCGCCCGUCAAGUCACGAAAGUCGGUAACACCCGAAGCCGGUGUCCCAACCCCUUUUUUGGGGAGGGGGCCGUCUAAGGUGGGACUGGUGAUUGGGACUAAGUCGUAACAAGGUA
rnacentral:rRNA from 1 species